rnacentral:rRNA from 1 species
GAAAAAGGAGGAGAGCGUAGAGGAACAAAGGUGGGGCUGACCGCCGAUCCCAAAGGCAGCCGCGGCGGUGUCGGCGGCGAUGGUAGGAACGAGGCGGUAGAUACCGGUGGUCUCUUCCGCGGGAAGACUCUGGACGAGAACAAGUUUGGAAGAGCAGAACCGCAGUUCCGCACGAUAAGACGGAUACAAACGGUGACACCGCCGCUCUACUCCCCCUCCUUCCCUACCGUAGCUCCACAGCUACCUCCGGGAUCGAGCUCCGCCGCUCUACGUCUCUACGCCCCACCACGCCUACCUCUCCGUCGAAGUCUAGGCGCGCGUCGGCGGGCGUGAGAGGAAGGAGACGGCGGAAGGGACACCAGUCGAGGCAGAAGAGGGGCGGGAGGUAGGAGUACACAAGUCGUCGUUGGGAUCCUCCUCGAGCUCGGUGUAGCCACUUACAAGAGACGAUCCAAACCACGAUGAUGAGGCAGAAGCUAGGGUUGGUAGAGCGUGCAAGGGCUCUAGCAGCAGAAGGACCGGCCCUGCGGACCAAACACUAAGUACCGUAAACCGCGUAGACGCGAAUUUAAGAACGACCUUACCAUUUGUUGCUAAGGUAAACCAAUGGUAAUUGUUUUACUUCUUUUGGUUGUUAAAUAAAAACAUC